GGUGGGAUUAUUUUGUGUUACGGGUUUGUGUGGUACAGGGUUUUUUGGUAGUGGUGGAGGGGGCCGCAGGGGUGGCUCCUGUGAGAAGCUGCUAGAAACUUCCCUGGCUCCAAGUCGGACCCACCUCUGGC